rnacentral:rRNA from 1 species
AUACGGAGGGGGCUAGCGUUGUUCGGAAUUACUGGGCGUAAAGCGUACGUAGGCGGACUGAUCAGUUGGUGGUGAAAUCCCAGGGCUUAACCCUGGAACUGCCUUCAAUACUGUCAGUCUUGAGUUUGGGAGAGGUGAGUGGAAUUCCUAGUGUAGGGGUGAAAUUCAUAGAUAUUAGGAGGAACACCAGUGGCGAAGGCGGCUCACUGGCCCAUUACUGACGCUGAGGUACGAAAGCGUGGGGAGCAAACAGGAUUAGAAACCCCCUGUAGUCC